UACGUAGGGGGCUAGCGUUGUCCGGAUUUAUUGGGCGUAAAGAGCUCGUAGGCGGCCACUCAAGUCGAAUGUGAAACCUCGAGGCUUAACCUCGAGCCUGCAUUCGAUACUGGGCGGCUAGAGUCUGGUAGGGGGAUCUGGAAUUCCUGGUGUAGCGGUGGAAUGCGCAGAUAUCAGGAGGAACACCGGUGGCGAAGGCGGGAUCCUGGGCCAGUACUGACGCUGAGGAGCGAAAGCCGGGGGAGCGAACGGG
rnacentral:rRNA from 1 species